CUUCAGCGACCCCAGGUACAGCGGCCGGUCCGCCGGACGCUGCCGGCCGUACGACGCCAGCAGCGCCUGGGCCUC
rnacentral:antisense_RNA from 3 species